rnacentral:rRNA from 1 species
GAUGAACGCUGGCGGCGUGCCUAAUACAUGCCAGUCGAGCGAACAGACGAGGAGCUUGCUCCUCUGACGUUAGCGGCGGACGGGUGAGUAACGCGUGGAUAACCUACCUAUAAGACUGGGAUAACUUCGGGAAACCGGAGCUAAUACCGGAUAAUAUAUUGAACCGCAUGGUUCAAUAGUGAAAGACGGUUUUGCUGUCACUUAUAGAUGGAUCCGCGCCGCAUUAGCUAGUUGGUAAGGUAACGGCUUACCAAGGCAACGAUGCGUAGCCGACCUGAGAGGGUGAUCGGCCACACUGGAACUGAGACACGGUCCAGACUCCUACGGGAGGCAGCAGUAGGGAAUCUUCCGCAAUGGGCGAAAGCCUGACGGAGCAACGCCGCGUGAGUGAUGAAGGUCUUCGGAUCGUAAAACUCUGUUAUUAGGGAAGAACAAAUGUGUAAGUAACUAUGCACGUCUUGACGGUACCUAAUCAGAAAGCCACGGCUAACUACGUG